rnacentral:rRNA from 1 species
AUGACCCACGUAUCAGAUAUUAAACUGAUAAGAACAGAUACUACACUUGAUCUUAGCCAAAAGGCCGAGAAAGGUAUGAGUUACCAGCCGCGCCAGCCCCUCCUUGUUAUAGCCUCGCCG